rnacentral:lncRNA from 1 species
GGCCUGCCCCCCAACAAGGUUAACUACCUACUCGGGGUGAUUUUAUUAUUCAUAUCUUUGAAACCUUUGUAUUCUACAUUGAAAUAUGUUAAAUAUCUAUAAAGAAUCAGUGCUUUGCUAUAACUUUAUUUCAAUGCUUUUUUUUUUUGAUGAAAAAGUAUUUUAAUGUAAGCAUGGCCAGUAAUUAACAAUUGAAUUACAAAAAUGAUCGUUAGUAUGGUCCACCCGUGUUGAUACAGCGAACUAUUGGAAAGUUGUCCAUCAUUGUUCGCUGCCUAUGAGGUCCUUUAUGUGGAACUUUUGUAUCCACAUAGAUUCCACUAAAGGUUGUUGAAGUUUUCCAUUGACAAAGGUUGGGUUAUUUGUGAAUGGACAUGCGGUGCUUAUGUAAGCUUGCUGAAGAGGUUUCGUGAGUAUAUAAUAUUGCCGCCUCUUCCCGCGUAUGGUCAGGAGAUAGGCAAAUAGUGACGCAAAUAAACAAAUAAGCACUAUUUUAAUCUGAAUAUCGUACUGCAAGAAAACGCACCAUGGUUUGUACUAUCCUAUGUAUAUGCACACGCUUAACCUAGUUGUAGGAAAACGGUGCGGCCUACAGAAUUCGACGGGGCUUUUCGGUUACGCCUUUUUCUUGCAGAAAAGAAUAUGCGCGGAUCACAUGACGGUGGCUUUCUUUGGGCGCCCAUCGCAAGAGGUCUGUAAUUAAUGCUACGCUACGUGAGAAAUUCUCCCUAGUGCUGUUAGACAAACAACCAACUGCUUUUGCCACGUAGAAGGCAGUGGUGGUCAAGAAGCAUAUUUGAUGAAGGAAGGUUCUGAUGGAAAACUCAAAGUGGUGAGCAUGAAACAACUGGCAAAUGCGCUAUGCCAGGAGAAACUUAGUAAAAGUUCAUUAGUUCGCAUAUUUUGGAUAAGAGGGCGUGGCAUUUUAGUGCUUGACGAUGUUGUCUUUGUUGACUCCGCUGGCGUUGAUGUCUCUGUUACCUUGGAUGACGAUUGCUUUUGCGACUGAUCCAGCUAUUCUCAUAACUCCUUCACCUCCGAUACACGCACAUCGUUACAUACGUGGUCAUUGUUUUGUGUGGUCACAAAGCAAAAAAGGUAAUACACGAACCAGUGUGCAUGACUUGAAAAUUAAAGGCAAAGCGCUCAUGCUGUGCUAGCAAGUGGAAAGAUCCCUCCACGAACUGUCUGACCUCAUCGAUGGUGAGCUUGGCACAUAUCAGCGCGCAGCUACCUGGGUGCUAUGCGAACUGAUGACAGUCAUCGAUAAAUUGCCGGAAUUUUAACACGCGAUUUAAACAAAAUAAAUGCGUUAGCAUGCUACUAUUGGCCCUAAAAACAGGACGAAAAAAUGCACAGCGGUAUAUUUUCUCAAACGUCCCUACAAAAGAAAUUUCCUAGCGGCAACGUGGAAAAAAAACGAUUGCAUUGGAUUGUACGGUUAUUGGUAAAUUUUACGGAGAUUCCUGCUGCCAGAUAGCGGUCUGACAAAACUCAAACGACAGAAGGUUCCCCCUGCGUUCAUCGAUGGAUUCUUAAAUGGUUUGCGCUUGCCAACUAAUCUACUGAAAGAUUUUUUAGUUCGCAGUGAGUUGUCUUUUAUUUCGGCUUAUUUAUACGUUUAUUUCCUAUUACUUGAGCCUCAUUGUAAUACCUGGAGGAGGAUAAAGUUCUGACAGUUGUCGCUAAAAAAAAUAUCCUGCCGUUCAUGGUGAUACGUGAGCAGGAUUUUAUUAAUUUUUCGCUUGCGUUGAGGACUAAAUACUAUUCUUUAUGAAUUCGUCAGUGAAACGUCCAUAUUAGGGACUGUCUUGCUAGAUGUCCCGAUUUGCAGCGACUCAUGAUAAGGGCUUAAAAUAGGUAUGUAUAGCAACAAAUAGUCAGUAGUUAAUUGUACCUGAACCUGCAAACUUACUGGGGCAGAGUAUAAUAACGCAAAAAAUUUGCAAUUCAGAGUGUAAAAACAAGAGGGAGCUACAAAGAUAUUUUUAAUAGCAGAAAAUAACUAAGCGUAAACAAGAGUCAAAAUUAGUGGAAAUCAAAAUAAUAAUGACGUACUGGAUUACGUAAAUGUUUGUGAGUAAAGAAAAGGGUUUAACUGAUUUGUUCGUUGUGUAAUAUUUACAGCAGGAGUGGCAAAACAGUGCAAGGACUGCUUACUUGCAA